UCCUCACAUUUUGAGACUCCCUCCAGAAUUUCCCCAAUUUCUUUCCCUCCAUAAGUCUCGUAUAUCUUUCCCCCAAUUUCUAUUUCCCCCAAUUCCUUCCCCCGAUUCAUUCUUAUUGAAGGCUGCUGGAAUGUAAAACUCACAAUCUCCAAACAAUUGCAGCUGAGGUAAUGCAUUCCCCUCUAAUAACGCUGGAAACAUUUAUAGUUUAGCACAAAUUGAACUCCCAAUUUUCUAACUUCAGAUUCUUCUAUUUCUCCCAAUCUGUUUCUCCGGUUAGAAGAAUCGAGAUUCAAAUUAGAAAAAGUACAUGAAAUUCAUUUAGCAGCUUCAAUAAUCUCAGCCGAGAGAUCAAAAACUGUUGAUGAAGCUAUUGGGAUCGACGUCGACAGUAAAACAUUUGAGAGCCAUGCCAAUUGAUAAAUCUUGGACUAGCAAACCACGAAACACACCUGAAUAUGCAGAUGGUCUAAGACAAUUUUUGGAUUUUGCUUUUGAGCACGGGAGCAUUUCAAGAAUGCACAAAUUCGAAAAAAUCAACUUCCUCAUACUUGUGGUGCUAUGAGUUUGGCUAAAAGAAGGGAUGCAAUGAAGGCGAUGGGAAAAGCUUUUGAUCGAGGCAAAAUGUGGACUGAGACUCAUAAAAGGAAAGAUGGGAGUUAUGUAACUGAUGAGGCUAGGGUGAUUGGGGAAAGAAUUGAAGAAAUUCGAACUGAAAGAGCAUAAAGUUUUGAUGAACCUUCACCAAAUGAUGCACUUGGCAUAGUAUUCGGUCCCGAGCACCCCGGCUGUGUUCGAAGUUUAGGCUUGGGUGUAGUUCCAACUGUAGCAUUCAAACAGACAUCUGCGAGAUACCGUCGUGGUUAUGUGGGUUCAUCUAGCACUACCGCUCCAACUCCAGCGUGGCAGCAAGAGAUAACAGAUGUGAAAUCAAAAUUAAAUGCACUAAUUAGCUUAUAUGAAAGGAACAUAGAGAAUAUCCCCGAGGAGUUUGCUCACUUAUUUUUCACUCCUCCACAGGCACCAGAUUUAGGAAGUGAUGCACCAUCAAUAGUUGAACUAAGAAGAUCUUUAGAUGAAAGUAACAAUGAUGAUCGUCCAAGUGUGAAUUAGUGAUUAUUUUAUAGGAUCAACUAUGGAUCUUUUGGAUAUUACUGUGGAAAUACAAUUUGAAGUAUUAAUAUUUGGAUGAUGUAAUUUUGGUAUACUUGAGUGUGAAUUUGUGAUUAUUUUGUUGUAUCAACUAUGAAUCUUUUGGAUAUUACUGUUGAAAUACACUUUGAAGCAUUAA